GGAUUCACAAUCCACUGCCCUUGAUCCACUUGGCUACAUCCGCCC
rnacentral:tRNA from 1 species